AGUAAUGCUUGGGAAUCUAGCUUAUGGAGGGGGAUAACUACGGGAAACUGUAGCUAAUACCGCGUAGAAUCGAGAGAUGAAAGUGUGGGGACCUUCGGGCCACAUGCCAUAGGAUGAGCCCAAGUGGGAUUAGGUAGUUGGUGAGGUAAAGGCUCACCAAGCCGACGAUCUCUAGCUGGUCUGAGAGGAUGACCAGCCACACUGGGACUGAGACACGGCCCAG
rnacentral:rRNA from 1 species